CGGGAUGUAGCGCAGCUCGGCUAGCGCGCCUGCCUUGGGCGCAGGAGGUCCCGGGUUCAAAUCCCGGCAUCCCGACUA
rnacentral:tRNA from 1 species